rnacentral:rRNA from 1 species
UACGAAGGGGGCUAGCGUUGUUCGGAAUUACUGGGCGUAAAGCGCGCGCAGGCGGUCUUCCAAGUCAGUGGUGAAAGCCCGGAGCUCAACUCCGGAACUGCCAUUGAAACUGUAAGACUUGAGGACGAGAGAGGUGAGUGGAAUUCCCAGUGUAGAGGUGAAAUUCGUAGAUAUUGAGAAGAACACCAGUGGCGAAGGCGGCUCACUGGCUCGUAUCUGACGCUCAGGCGCGACAGCGUGGGGAUCAAACAGG